AUUGAACGCUGGCGGCAGGCCUAACACAUGCAAGUCGAACGCGUGGCGGACGGGUGAGUAAUGUCUGGGAAACUGCCUGAUGGAGGGGGAUAACUACUGGAAACGGUAGCUAAUACCGCAUACCAUCGGAUGUGCCCAGAUUGGCUUAGCUAGUAGUUGGGGUAACGGCUCACCUAGGCGACGAUCCCUAGCGGGUCUGAGAGGAUGACCAGCCACACUGGAACUUGGACAAGGUCCAGACGCCUACGGGAGGCAUCAGGGGGGAAUAUUGCACAAUGGGCGCAAGCCUGAUGCAGCCAUGCCGCGUGUGUGAAGAAGGCCUUCGGGUUGUAAAGCACUUUCAGCGGGGAGGCGUUACCCGCAGAAGAAGCACCGGCUAACUCCGUGCCAGCAGCCGCGGUAAUUC
rnacentral:rRNA from 1 species